rfam:Diaporthe ampelina DA_912_scaffold_v01_157, whole genome shotgun sequence.
GGCGCCGUGGCAGAGUGGUCUAAUGCGAUAGACUAGAAAUUGUUCUGUAUUGAUUCUGGUUAUCUAUUCUCUUCGGAGGCGCAUGUUCGAAUCAUGCCGGCGUCG